AUUGGGGUUGGUGUAGCUGCUGUAUUUGAAGUUGGAGUAGUUGCGUUGUCUGUCGUGGUCAGGGUUUGAGUAGCUGUUGUGCUUAUCACUGGGGUUGAUGUAGCGGGCGUCCGCGCUAAGGCCAGCAUCAGUAUGGUGAGCCCCGGGAAGCUGGGGCACACCAGGUUGACUAAGGAGGGGUGAACCGGCCCAGGUCGGAGACGGAGCAGGUCAAAGCUCCCGCGCCGGUCAGUAGCGGGAUCGCGCCUGUGAAUAGCCAAUGCAGCGUAGCCUGGGCAACACAGAGAGAUGCGGGUUCCUU
rnacentral:SRP_RNA from 1 species